rnacentral:lncRNA from 1 species
GCUUUCUCAUCUUUCCCUCUUCUCUCUUUCUUCUCUCCCACCAGGUUUCUGCCCCAAAUUCACACACUCCCUCCUAUCACCAAAGCCACCUGCCACCGCUGGCCUCCUGCAUGCUGUGGGAAGAGAGCAGGGCAGACGACAUUGCCUCCCUUGACUCCAGUGGCACGGGUUUGUGAGUCCAUGGGGCGCAGAUGUCCAGGGAACCAUCUGACGCAAUGUGAGGGCAAGCAAACACUCAAUGAGACAACCAUGGACCCUAGGGAUGCAACGGUGAAGGAGACGCAGCCCUUCAACACCUGGCAGGGCAGAGACACUUCAACAGCCCCAGUGGACAGUGUGAUGGUAGGGAAGCCCAGCAUGCGACACCUGCACUCAGGAGGGACAGCUGACAGGUGGCUGACCUUUUUUUCUUUCUUUCUUUUCUUUCUUUUUUUUUUUUUUAGACGGAGUCUCGCUCGGUCACCUCUGUCACCCAGGCUGGAGUACAAGGGCACGAUCUCAGCUCACUGCAAUCUCCGCCUCCCGGAUUCAAGUGAUUUUCCUGCCUCAACCUCCCGAGUAGCUGGGAUUACAGGCAUGCACCACCACGCCUGGCUAAUUUCUGUAUUUUUAGUAGAGAUGGGGUUUCACUGUGUUGGUCAGGCUGGUCUCAAACUCUUGAUCUCGUGAUCCGCUGGCCUCAGCCUCCCAAAGUGUGGGAUUACAGGCAUGAGCCACCAUUCCCGGCCAGCUGACCUUUCUUAACAGAUAUGUAGGUCUUGUUGGGUGCAGUGGCUCACACCUAUAAUCCCAACAUUUUUUGGUAGGCUGAGGUGGGCAGAUCGCUUGAGCCCAGGAGUUUGAGACCAGCCUUGGCAACAUGAUGAAACCCUGUACCUACAAAAAAUACAAAAAU